ACCAGAAUUCGCUUUGGGCUCAUUCUAAGGCUUAAGGCCCAACGCCGAUGGUUAGCACAGGGAGGAUCAAAACGGAGACUCCAUUCUCCUGCUUGUCUUACGCUAACGGUCCAACAGAAAAAGAAAGGGAACUAGGUCGCGGCGGCAAAAGACCUAACCGCGUCGGCCUAAGUCGCCGGCGGCGACGAACUGAAACGACAAAUAUUCCCCAAACCACCUCCGCGUUAGUCUCUCCUAUCCAUAACCCAAUGCGACCUCCUCCACUCAACCACAAAGAAAUGUUAACGCAUGAUCCCACGGCGAUGCGUCGAAAUGAAAACAAGAACCGGUUCAAACAAACGUCUCGCCAUGGCGCACGAAGAAGAAAGAAACCAACACGAAGGAAAGAGGACCUACCGGCGAUGACGGUGGCGAAUCCACCGGCGAACCUCGGUCGAAGCUCAGGAUUGGUGGUUCAGUUAUGGUGAAGUGUUGAUGGAAGAGCGAAGAAUUGCAGAAGUGAAUCGGGACGAAGGUUCUGAAUUGGAUUUAGAGUUUUGCCGUCGUCGCCGUUGGUCGUGUUAGCGGCUUUUGCUACUGCUGGCUUGUGGCUUGGAAGCUCGCGUGUUAAUUUAAAAGGUGCACUUUCAAAAUUAACCCCACCAGGUGAAUUGGAAAGCGUGAAGCCAAAAUCAAUAUGAAUGAUAUGACCCUCUUCGUCCAAUAGGAGAUUCCCGUUAUGCCUAUCCUUCGGAUAUGGAUUACCUCCCGUGAAAAAUCCACUGCAUGUAAUCCAGUUUUCAAAUCCACCCGUUCAAUCAUUUUUCUAACCAUCUAAUCAAUGUACUGUAUUAGAAAUCAAUGGUUAGCAUUUCACUGGACAUAAAAGUGCACGGGAGAGGAUCUCUUCCCCUAUCCUUCACAUGUAGAAAAGUAGCACACCAGCGAAUAUCCAGCCAUACUCAACAAAUUUCCUCUGGGCAAGUUUAAAACUUGGAGAAUUUUCUUGAUAUUUAGCAUCGAAGAAUUUACGUAAACUUGAGAUGUUGGGAUAUCUACUUUUGAUCUGAGUGUAGAGAAGCCGUAUAUGGAAUUGUUUCAAUGAGAUACACAAAACUUCAUAAGGGCGGAGCCAAAGCGGUAGACCAGCUUCUUGGAAAAUAUCAUAGAAGUGGGAAAUUAGUUGAACAUCCAGAUGCUCCUGCCUGCAAUCAUCUCAACUCUUUACAAUAACCGAUCGCAAGUCCCAACUAGGUAACUUCCCGUACAUCGAAGCCUUGCGUACCCUAUCUUUCUUUACCUCCCAAAGUUCACCGGACAAGGCAUCACUGGCUUUGGGGGUAAUUCCAUUGGCCCUCGGUUGUGCAUCUGAUGUGUCUUGGCCAGUCUUCGGUAGAAGUUAUCUCGUCGCUUUUGAAGAUGCUAGAUAUUUUAAAGAGACAAAUCAUUUGAGACAAUAAAUAAUAAUUUGAAUAUUA